UACGAGUGGCCCAAGCGUUAUCCGGAAUUAUUGGGCGUAAAGAGCUCGUAGGCGGUUUGUCGCGUCUGCUGUGAAAACUGGAGGCUCAACCUCCAGCCUGCAGUGGGUACGGGCAAACUAGAGUGCGGUAGGGGAGAUUGGAAUUCCUGGUGUAGCGGUGGAAUGCGCAGAUAUCAGGAGGAACACCGAUGGCGAAGGCAGAUCUCUGGGCCGUAACUGACGCUGAGGAGCGAAAGCAUGGGGAGCGAACAGG
rnacentral:rRNA from 1 species